GCGCCCGUAGCUCAGGGGAUAGAGCGCUUGCCUCCGGAGCAAGAAGUCGUGCGUUCGAAUCGCACCGGGCGCGCCA
rnacentral:tRNA from 1 species